ACAUGCAUUUGAAUUUAUGACAAGCUCAUGCCUCUGGGUCUGUCAUAGUGUCUCAGGCCAAAACAAACUGGCCAGAAACCAGAUCUUGGCUGCUGUA
rnacentral:snoRNA from 1 species